rnacentral:lncRNA from 1 species
UUCAAGUACGCAACCCCGUCCAUUCCCCUCCCCCGACCCCGAGCGGUCGAGCGCCGCCUCCGCCGGCUUCCGUCGUCGACCACCUCCUGGUGCUGCCGUCGUCAACCACCUCGCCGUAGACCACGAAGCCGCAGUACUGGAGGGAAAGAGGAGAAGAGGAGGGAGCGCAGCGCGUGCAGCUGCCUGCCGUCGAGUUGAGGGUCGACCGCCGCCGUCUCCACCUGUCCGCCGUCGACCACCUCCUCGCCGGCUCGCUGCUGUCGAUAAGAGAUGACCACGAAGCUGGAGGAGGGGGAGGAUGUGCCUGCACCUGCACGCCGUCUCCCCUGCACCUGUUCGAUCUCCUCUGUCCUCUCCUCUGCAUUAUCCCAUCUCUGACCGAGGUAUUCAGUGCCAAAAUUUUCAACAAUUAGUACUGAAUUGUUAGCAGUUCGUACUGAUCUAUUGAGUGUUGAAUACACCAUUGUUAGCAGUUAGUACUGAAUUCCAAAAUUUUCUUACAUCAUCUUUCAUCCAUUCUUCAGCUUGUCAUGGUAAAUCUAUAGCAUAACUUGCUUAUUUAUUGUCGAUUCCAUCCUCUUUUGAAACAAGCAUUCUAAAUGUUCAAAAUUAGUCUCAUAUAUGCUGUAUUCUUGGUCCAUUUGCUUUACAAAAUAUAAAAGGAUGACUAAACAGUGGCUAAACAGAGCCAAAAAUCCUCCCAACGCACUCCCAGGAUACAAAUUCAGUCGGUCCAGUCGGUCCUCUCGGUCUUGACCGAGCUUUGCUGCAGCCGGUCCGGUCCUGAAAAUAUGAACCGCCAGCCACUUCGGUCCGGUCCGGACCGGACCGGCCGCGGCCGGUCCAAAGCAGGGCUCGGUCAGGGACCGGACCGGCCCGGACUGCGUCCACCCCUAGUCUAGAGUUUGUGCUACUACACAGCGCGCGAGCACCAUUUGCUUGACAGUGUCAUUUUUUCUUUGAUUUUUUCGAAUUUUAGUAUGGUUUGUUAUCGUGUACUUCAUCCGUUCCAAAAUAAGUUUCUUUAAUAAAAUUAUUGUCUUUGAUUUAGUACAACUUAUUUUGGGACGGAAAAAAGUUGUACUAACCGAAAACGCUUAUUUUGGGACGGAGAAAGUACCAUAUAGCUGCAUGUAAAAUGCUUCUGAAACAUUCUAUUGUCAGCAAGAAUGUAAUGUCUGGCUAGUUUUAAUUGAGAAUUUGGGAUAUGUGUCCCCUUAAUAUUGGUGUGUGUGUAUCUAUGUAAUGUCAACAUAUAAUUCUUUUAGUCAAAGCUUAAUUUGUCGCUCCUAGUAAGGUGUACUGUUAACGUACAUAGGAUUUCUUACUAGCGGUAUAUCGGUAAUGCAGGUUGACUGGAGCAAUCAAGCUGACUUACUAGAAAUUUCUUAUCGAGUUUUAGUUUGUUAAUUCAUUAGCACUACAGAUUCGUUAACAGGCCCGAGUAUGUUCCAACUACAACAUACUCCCUGUGUAAAGAAGUACUUAUGUUUGCUGGUGUUGGUUUGGAAAGCACUUCAUGCACCAACACAGGAACUCACUUCAGCUCACAAAAAGAAAAACAGGAGCCCACUUGCAGCGAAUCCAAGAGUUUUGGUUCAGUUUGCAGUUGUUAUAUGCUACUGUACUCAACUACACAAUCUAGUUA